CAAAAGCACUACAUGAGAAUAGUCGUGAUGCUCUUGAUACAUUGUCAAACUCCGAGUCAUCAUCCUCAGCUGAAGCAGUGGCAUUUCCGAAUUUGAGAAAAUUACAUUUUGAGGACUGCAACAAUUGGACAAAUUGGGAAGACUUAAGUGAAGAUGAUGAAGAAGUUGCGGUCUCUAUCAUGCCACGCCUGGAGGAGCUAAAAAUUCAAUACUGUCAUGAGCUCGAAACUCUGCCACAUCGCAUCUUCAGAAAGAUAUCAUCUCUCAAAAUUUUGGAUAUUCGACAUUGCAACAAGUUGAGGGAUCGUUACUCUGACAAAACAGGAGAUGACUGGAAAAAGAUAUCACACAUUCCUCAAGUUCACAUAUUUUGAUGAAUAAUAAUCUGCUCAGAUAAUGCUCAUUGAUGGCUCAAAGUGAAGCUACAGUAGAAGGCAUUGAUGGAUCAACCUCUACGUCAACUUUUUACUUGGGUUCGUGUAAAAUUUCAAAUAAUUGUAAAUAUGGUUGAAGAGGUACAUCCACUUGCUUUGUUCAAAAUCAUUUGUUGAAACUAUAUGUAGCCUUACAAAUUUCCAGAUUGAAUUUCAAGUGGUUACAAAACCAGUCUUUAUUUCU